rnacentral:rRNA from 1 species
AGUUUGAUCCUGGCUCAGAUUGAACGCUGGCGGCAUGCCUUACACAUGCAAGUCGAACGGUAACGGGUCCUUCGGGAUGCCGACGAGUGGCGAACGGGUGAGUAAUAUAUCGGAACGUGCCCAGUAGUGGGGGAUAACUGCUCGAAAGAGCAGCUAAUACCGCAUACGACCUGAGGGUGAAAGGGGGGGAUCGCAAGACCUCUCGCUAUUGGAGCGGCCGAUAUCAGAUUAGCUAGUUGGUGGGGUAAAGGCCUACCAAGGCAACGAUCUGUAGUUGGUCUGAGAGGACGACCAGCCACACUGGGACUGAGACACGGCCCAGACUCCUACGGGAGGCAGCAGUGGGGAAUUUUGGACAAUGGGCGCAAGCCUGAUCCAGCAAUGCCGCGUGCAGGAAGAAGGCCUUCGGGUUGUAAACUGCUUUUGUCAGGGAAGAAAUCUUCUGGGCUAAUACCCCGGGAGGAUGACGGUACCUGAAGAAUAAGCACCGGCUAACUACGUGCCAGCAGCCGCGGUAAUACGUAGGGUGCGAGCGUUAAUCGGAAUUACUGGGCGUAAAGCGUGCGCAGGCGGCUUUGCAAGACAGAUGUGAAAUCCCCGGGCUCAACCUGGGAACUGCAUUUGUGACUGCAAGGCUAGAGUACGGCAGAGGGGGAUGGAAUUCCGCGUGUAGCAGUGAAAUGCGUAGAUAUGCGGAGGAACACCAAUGGCGAAGGCAAUCCCCUGGGCCUGUACUGACGCUCAUGCA